CAGGAUGAACGCUAGCGACAGGCUUAACACAUGCAAGUCGAGGGGCAGCACGGGAGUAGCAAUACUUUGGUGGCGACCGGCGCACGGGUGAGUAACGCGUAUGCAACCUACCUAUCAGAGGGGAAUAACCCGGCGAAAGUCGGACUAAUACCGCAUAAAACAGGGGCACCGCAUGGUGAUAUUUGUUAAAGAAAUUCGCUGAUAGAUGGGCAUGCGUUCCAUUAGGUAGUUGGUGAGGUAACGGCUCACCAAGCCGACGAUGGAUAGGGGAACUGAGAGGUUGGUCCCCCACACUGGUACUGAGACACGGACCAGACUCCUACGGGAGGCAGCAGUGAGGAAUAUUGGUCAAUGGGCGGGAGCCUGAACCAGCCAAGUCGCGUGAAGGAAGAAGGAUCUAUGGUUCGUAAACUUCUUUUGCAGGGGAAUAAAGUGCAGGACGUGUCCUGUUUUGUAUGUACCCUGAGAAUAAGGAUCGGCUAACUCCGUGCCAGCCGCGGC
rnacentral:rRNA from 1 species